UACGUAGGGUGCAAGCGUUAAUCGGAAUUACUGGGCGUAAAGUGUGCGCAGGCGGUUAUGCAAGACAGAUGUGAAAUCCCCGGGCUUAACCUGGGAACUGCAUUUGUGACUGCAUAGCUGGAGUGCGGCAGAGGGGGAUGGAAUUCCGCGUGUAGCAGUGAAAUGCGUAGAUAUGCGGAGGAACACCGAUGGCGAAGGCAAUCCCCUGGGCCUGCACUGACGCUCAUGCACGAAAGCGUGGGGAGCAAACAGG
rnacentral:rRNA from 1 species